ensembl:snRNA U1 U1 spliceosomal RNA
AUACUUACCUGGCAGGGGAGAUACCAUGAUCACAAAGGUGGUUCUCCCAGGGCGAGGCUCAUCCAUUGCACUCCGGCCGUGCUGACCCCUGCGAUUUCCCCAAAUGCGGGAAAGUCGACUGCAUAAUUUCUGGUAGUGGGGGACUGCGUUCGCGCUUUCCCCUG